CCUUUCUCCCGCGUUCUCGUGUGCACGGACGGGUUGGGAGCUCGGAGGGGAUAGGGGAGGGUAGAAUCUUGCUUCCGCAGCUGCGAAUUUGUGGCCCGAGGGGGGAUUUCAGAGCACACGAAGCUCCGGUGAGGACUAAUUAGAGUUGUCCUUUCGAUUUUGCGAGAUUCUGUGUCCAGGACAUGAUUUGACGAGAAAGGAACCCCCCUUUGAAUGUGUGGGAUUCCGCGUGCCCUGACAUCCAAGGAAUUUGGGGGCGAAAAGCAUGGGGAAAACGUCGGGAUUGUAGCAAUUAAUGUGGUUAUCUGAGCGUGAAGGAGGAAUUUCCUUCUUUCUCGGGUUGCCGGUGUGCUUCUGGCUUCACACGUAGGCUUUUCAAAGGAAAUUGGAUGCUGAUACUAUUAACUUAGUUUCCUGAAUGCGAUAUAUAGAUUCUUCCCUCGCUUUUAACUGAUUGCUCCAAACUGUAUAUCCCUAGUUGACACUUAUGAACUACUUAUUGCUGUUCAUUUACAACAUGCUGCUUAUAUCGUGUCCAAUCAUCAUCCGAAGUUCAGCCUUGGCUGUGAAUUUUUUGUAUUAUACGCUGUUCAUAGCUACAAAAUUGCAGUCUCUUGAAAUUGUUCUUGAAUAUGAACCCAACAACAUUAUUUUUGGGUCACGUAACCCAUAUGUCGAUGAUGAAGUUUGUAAUACGAGCUUGUGACAUACUGAUCCGAGCUGCCGGAAAAGAAUCUCCACCACUACCAUGUUUUGAUCGCUCCGGAAGUCACAUCGUCGUCAACUAAGCAGUGAUCAAUGAGCUGGUGAACCUGCACAGGGCGUCUUAUCUCGGUGGGAGGCUGCCGGCGAACAAUGGCAGGAAGAGCCUAUACACGGCAGGCCCGUUGCCUUUCACUUAUGAAGAGUUUCAUAUCACUCUGCAUGACGAUAAUGAUGGCUCUGGCUCCCAUGGGCGACAAAGGAAUUUUAAGGUGGUGGUUAAGUUCGCCGCGUGACAUCUACAAAUGAAUUUACAAGUGAUUGAUCCAUGGAGUUCAGGCGACAACAACAGCUAGCUCCGUACAGGCUAAAGUGUGACAGGGAACCGCUUAACAACAAGUUUGUGGUGCAGUCAGUGGAAAAUUGGCAGAUACUUCCCUCACAACGUUGGCACUGAUAUGUCUGUGGCCAUGUUCAGCCGGCUCCAGGCAUCUAGCUAUGGUUGUCGCUGCUACGGAGGCCAGAGGAGGAAGCUACGCUCUUCCAUGGCGGCCAGAGGAGGAGGAGGCACUUCUCCGGUCAGAUCAGUGGCUACCAUGUCGCCGUCAACGUCCACCCUCCUCGACAGAUCAACUUACUCCCAAGGCAACUGCUCCUGAUCUUGAACACGAGCUUGGAAAUCUGGCACCGACAUAUGCAGCUGCCGGUCAAAUUUCUCCAUAUUUUGGUUUGGAGAUUUUUGGAAGGAACAGGUUGGACCCUUCUCCUGAUAACCAUCUUUAUAUUAGUGGUUUCAUUACUUUGAACUUGUUUAUGUGUCGCUUACUAUUAUACAGCCAGUCAGAUAAUUUUUUGGUGUGUUUCACUGUUUCUCUGCAUAACCUGUAAACAUUUCUUAGAACUGAGUAAAGGUUGUAUGUGAAUUGUUUUAAACUCUGCCACUAGGAAGGCUUUGACCAUGAUUCCUCAGGGAGUAGAUAACUCAUUCCUUCCACAUAUGGUAUUCCCAUCAUUUCCUUUUGCAUGCAGUUUUCUCAUCAUCUUACAAA